rnacentral:SRP_RNA from 1 species
UCGUGCUAGACGGGGAGCGAGCGGUGCCCUGUACCCGCAAUCCGCUAUAGCGGGGUCGAAUUCCCGCUCCGAGGCUCGUCGCCUCGAGGUCUGCCCGGCGUAAGUAGCGUUGAAGGAUGGGUCCCUCGCAACGGGAACCUGUGAACCCCGUCAGGUCCGGAAGGAAGCAGCGGUAAACGGGCUCUCCCGUGUGCCGAGGCCAACCGAUCCGGAGCAGACUGCGCCGGUAACGCUCGGGGUGCCGUGUCGACGGCGGGUGCACGA